rnacentral:lncRNA from 1 species
AGUGCUGAUCAGACCUAGUAAGCACAAAGUCGCAAAUAUCCCAGACACCCUGACCACAGACACACAUGUAUACCAAGGACAGGAAUAAAUACCUAAAACUGUAAGGCACUGCCACCUUCUUAGAUGUCUUGGUGAGAGGUCCACUGUUCAGAGGGCACACUGAGAUAUAAGGCGAAGGCCUUUUUGGAUCUGUAGUGUGCUACCUCUUUAAUGGGAAAUCUUAGAGGCUAUCAGUAUUGAAUGGUGACCAGAGGAAAAUACUGCUCUACAUAUAGGUCUGGGCUGUCAUACAAACUGAUCUGCUACUGGGGCCUCAUGACCUAGCAGAUCCAAAAGUAUUCAACAUGUUUGUGGCAGAUGCAAAUGCUGUUUAGAACCUUCGAGAGGUCGCUGUAGAAGCACAAUGCAAAACUUCAGGAUUUUGGAGCAAAACUUUGUCAUCUUUUGCACACACAGUGUUCUCUUUUGAUAGCUCCUGGUGUGCUACUGGACCUUAGUAGAGAUAGAAUGUCUGACUCUGAGCCACUAAGUAACCAUUCAACCUCUUCUGCCCUUCAAGAACUGGGAAAUGUCUGAAAAAACAAGUAAUGAAACGUGUGUAUAGCAGCACUCCAUUACAAGUUGUAGUUUUAUAUACGAGAUUGGUCUCAAGCAAGACCUAAAGGUAAAAGUAAGAGGCUCAGAUUUGCAUGGCUCCUCCUCUUGCUGCAUUAACUGCUGUCUCUCAACGCAAGCAUACUGUAACAUAUUGAUGGAGGAGGAAAAUGCUGAGUCUCGUUUACUGAUAAUUCUAUGUAACAUGCUGGCAUCACCUAAAGUGGAGAACUGCGAGAUUACUGCCCCAUCCAAGAAAACCCUUCAGCAGCCCCAUUCUUCAGGAACCGUGAAGGACUAUGGCAAAGAGAUGAUAAAUAGCCAAAGACGUCAAUGGCACCCAUGGACAUAGUAAGCAUAGUAGGAGCUGAAAAACUAGAAGCAAUGACAAUGUCAACUAUUUUGAGCAAAAAGAAGCAGUGUCUUCGGAACAUUUGAUCAUAAAACCAGAAAUUAAAGGAUGAGAAAAACAUUUUUCUGAAGCUUAUACUUUCACAUUUCCUAGAGAGCAUAUUUGUGUGGAUGGGGGUGGGUAAACACUCAACAAAAGUUUCUUUAAAAAGAAGAAACCAUCCUGGUUUGAUGUAAUCAAUGGUUGCCCACUGCUCCCUUCCUGUGCCUGUGACCCUUCCCAAACUGCCCUGUUGCUUGCAGGCUCGCCUGAGCUGAAAGGCAGCCCUCACAUCCCGUCGGCACCUCCCUGGGGCCUUCUUUACACCCUGGAGAACUUCACAGGGAAUCUGUGUCUGUAACACAAAGGCUUCCUGGUCCAGAUGUAGAUACUAAGGCUGACUGGUUAUUUAAGUCCUGCGGACUUACUCUGCCAAAAUUAUUUAAUCAUGUAAAAAUAAUUUAUAAUUCUUAUAAAGUAUCCCCUUCAUAAUAUAAUGAAUGUUGGUGCUAUUACAUUUAAGUGCACAUGUACAGUAUACAAGAUUAUUAAUAAUAAUGUUUUCAAAUAGUUAUUGUCAAAGCUAUUUUUCUUAUGUUUAUGAAAGUGCUUAUAAAAUUCAUGUUUUAUGAGGCUGGAGAUGUAUAUUUUGUAAUUUCAUUCUGAUAUUUGUUAAUAUUCGCUUCCAAUGCUGGUUUUGUUUGAUGAGACUGACAUUGCCUAAUUUCAAGCUUUUUGAAUGUGUAUUCUUUCAGGGCAAGUAUGAAAUAACUAGUAAAAAAUAUACAAAUAUGCUUAACAAUAAGUAGACUUUCUCACAUUGAUUACUUACAACAGCUUUAUGUGGGGUGAAUCAGAUGCCUGUAUUACAGAAGCAUCUAAUGCAAAGCAAAAUAAAAACACUUGCAUGAGCGCACAGAGGUAGGUGUGGAAGAAAGUGAAACACUAUUUUAGGUUUUAGUUACACUCUGCUGUGGUGUGCUGCCUAGUAUUUGCAGGUUAAUGCAAAUACUAGGGGUUAUGAAUUGUUUCUAAGUUUAUUAUUAAAAAUAGCCUUGCUUCAUUUCUUCCUAAAAUGGAGACAAAUAUGUAUAGUGUCUGUGUUACCAGUAUGUGUAAGAGUAAUAUCUUAAUGCGUGUAAAAUGUUUAUAGGAACCUGUAUUUCAAAGAGCUAUUUUUGCAAGUGACACUAUCCUUUUAAGAAACUUUUUUAUUCAAACUUUUUCCUCCAUUUAUAACUAUUCUAUUAUUUCUUAAUGUUCAGAACCCUUUUCAUUAUCUAUAAGGUUAAAUUUUAGGUAAGUAAUGAGAAAAUAAUAAUAUGUGGAGAAGAAAUGAGUGAGGAGUCGAGAUGUGUGUCAAUCAAGAAUGAGUUUGUCAGCCCUUGUAUUAUGAUUUUACUCGGGAGGGGAUAAUUAUUGAAGGAUGUAAUGUAAGGGCAGUGAUACUAUAUGGUAUGUAAGACUGUUAAAAUCACUGAGGUAAGCUAUUACUUGAACUAAGCAUAGAAAUAGAGACAGAUUUUUAAUGCAUUUAAUUAUCAAAAUAUCUAAAUUAAAGAUUUGAUGUGGUUGUUCACUGGAAACAAAUGGCAGACAAACAGAAUAUUUCUUGGAAUCAUAAAUGACAUCAUCCUGUCUCCAACUUUCUGUGUAGCUUCUUUCUUUAGUUGGUCUUUGCUUAGAUUUCCCUGUGUCAGAGACGACUUCCCUGGAUAUCAGUGACAGUUAUUGAUUGCUCAUGCUAUGAACUCCUCCCAUUUCUCAGCCCUCUUGCAGUAGGUGGGGCCAUGGUACUAGUUGUGGCUUAUUGCUUAAAGACUUUAAGGCUCCAUGUGUGACUUUCCAGCUCUGGUCCACUGCUACUGCGGCUCUGGCAGGACUAGGGAGGUGCCCCGUGUCUCAGAUGGUGCAGCCUCCAUCCAGCUGUGUCCCUGAAUGACUAGAGCACAGCCACUGGUGACCUGUGGUGGACGUAGAAUGUGGGUAAGAGAUAAACUUAUGCUACACCGCUGGGGUUCAGGGGCUAAUUUGUUACCACAGCAUAGUCAACCUUUUCUAGCACCCCAUUCUGUCUAAAUUUAGUAGUCCUACCCCACUCCAUGCCUCCCCAACCCUUCCCCUGGCUUUAGUUUCUUUGUAGCACUGGUCCCCGCAUGACCUGUCGUUGCUUUACUUUCUCGCAUCACUUCUCCCUGCCUCCAGCACAUGCACUAAAAUUUAAACUCCAUGCCUGGACAAAAUCAAUGUUUGUUAAAUAAAGUCUGCCAGUUCUGUUUGCGAUUUUUCAGAAACAAGGAAAGAAAUCCUAUAUAAAGUUGAUCUGUGCUUUGGCAAUAUUCAUUUAGGGUAAUUGCCCUUUUUUCAAAUGGCUGUGCAUUUUUUAUGAUGAUGAAUAUAAAGUAUUUAGCAGAAAUAUUUUUUAUUAAAAUUGUUGAGCUUAUGGAAUCAAUGUAGCAGCCUAUGUGAAAGAAACACUGUGCUAGAGAGUUGUCUUUCUGCCACGUGUAAUCAUUACAUUUAACUCAAGUUCUCCAUGGGAGAUCCAUGCAGAGAUAUGAAAAUAGGACGGACGUCUCUUCCUUCUUAAAAGUUGCUCCAGAUUUUGGCUUCAAGUGCUUCCUGUUUUUUGCCCUCCCUUAUCCCUGGGAGUUCCCUCUAUUUACUUUCACAAGGACUCUUGGUAUAAAAGAUAUUUGUAUACCUGGGUGUGUGGGAAGGAAUUGAAGGCAAAGGUAGCAGUCAUUUCAAGCUGAACAUGUUAAGUGGUAAUCGAGCACUUGGUUUUUGUAGUACCUCCUGUGGCCAUCUCCACAGUGUCAUAUUUGAAAGAAAUCUUGUGUAAGCAUUGGUCUAAGGGUCACUGACUGUGAAUAAUGAAUGCGGUGACAGCAUGGCCAUCUUAGAGACAGGCAGGCCAGAUAUUGGUUACUUUGAUUUUAGUUGACAAAGUUUAUUUGCUUUUAAGUUUUAAAGCAAUACAGCAGUGUGAACUUCAAGUUGUAAACUUUCAUUUAGAAAGUUUAAAAUUUAGUUGAAAUAUAAAAUAUUCUGAAUCUGAAUAAAAAGUUUUAAAACUU